rnacentral:rRNA from 1 species
UGGGGAAUUUUGGACAAUGGGCGAAAGCCUGAUCCAGCAAUGCCGCGUGUGUGAAGAAGGCCUUCGGGUUGUAAAGCACUUUUGUCCGGAAAGAAAUCCUUGGCUCUAAUACAGUCGGGGGAUGACGGUACCGGAAGAAUAAGCACCGGCUAACUACGUGCCAGCAGCCGCGGUAAUACGUAGGGUGCGAGCGUUAAUCGGAAUUACUGGGCGUAAAGCGUGCGCAGGCGGUUUGCUAAGACCGAUGUGAAAUCCCCGGGCUCAACCUGGGAACUGCAUUGGUGACUUGCAGGCUAGAGUAUGGCAGAGGGGGGUAGAAUUCCACGUGUAGCAGUGAAAUGCGUAGAGAUGUGGAGGAAUACCGAUGGCGAAGGCAGCCCCCUGAGCCAAUACUGACGCUCAUGCACGAAAGCGUGGGGAGCAAACA